AAGGUUUUGCUUAGUUGAUUUUAGUUAGUGCUUUAGCUUUACUAGACAAUUUCCAAUUUUACAAUGUUGCUUUCUUAUAGAUUACUCAUAUAAGGGGCUAAUACUUAGCUACAUGUGUUCUUCCUAACUGUUUGUGUUUGUGAGAUAGGAAGAAAAAGGUCUUUAGUGUUUGUGAGAAUACAUGUCUAUUGAAAGAAGAAGCACUUAGCUAUUUUGUUUCCUAAUGGUGCUAUAUAAAAUUAGGGCUAAAUCAUAAAUUGAUAAUCAAAGCUAAGCUACUCUACCUUAACCAUUAUUUCCUUAAAAAAGUAUCUCACGGGAUACUCACAAAGAGAUCAAGAUGUGGCCAUAUAAUUUCUGAUAAUCAAAUACUUAAAAAGAUCCACAACAUGCUUUCAUGGAUAUCAGAUAUAUCCAAGAAAGUCCGCAUUGUACUCACUAAUUUGUAACAGCCCAACCCGCUAGUGAUAUUGUCCGCUCCGGGCCUAGGCCCUCAUGGGUUUAAAACGCGUCACUAGGGUUUAAGACUUGUUAACUUAUAUACCUAGCAUCCCUCUUGUGUUUUGCAGAUGUGAGACUCUGUCUAAAGCUUGGGGUGUUACAUACACCCCUCUUAUGGACUCAGCGUCCUCGCUGAGGUUUGCCCCACCGCAUGGGAUUUGCCUAGACUCAGCACUGAGGUUUGCCCCGCCUAACCGGGAUUUGCCUAGACUCAGUCGAACUCUGACCCAUCAUUGGUAUGGCUGAUACAAGAGUGGCUCUGAUACCAUCUGUAACAGUCCAGCCCGCUAGAUUUGCCUGAACUCAGUUGAACUCUGACCCACCAUCAGCAUGGCUGACACAAGAGUGACUCUGAUACCAUUUGUAACAGCCCAACCCGCUAGUGAUAUUGUCCGCUCCGGACCUACGCCCUCACGGGUUUAAAACGCGUCACUAGGGUUUAAGGCUUGUUAACUUAUAUACUCAGCAUUUCUCUUGUGUUUUGCCAAUGUGGGACUCCGUCUAAAGCUUGAGGUGUCACAUAUUGAUCGAUAAAUUACUUUGUUCUUUUGUGAUUGCGGUUUAUUUUCGUUGCAAACACUACCAUUUACUAUGCAUACUAUUGUAAUGUAUUUGUUAUAACAAUCCCAGCUUAUUUUGGGUUUGUGGAUAUAAUUUAUACCAAUAUCAACUGGCUCCCAUCGAACCGAUAUCUUUCUUUAGCUGUACCCGGAGGUGGAUCCUCAUUUCUUUUGGUAGCAUCAAAGACCAAAGAACAAUUUUUUAGCAUGACAUACAAAUGGUGAUUUCUUUUAAUCUUUGAGA
rnacentral:lncRNA from 1 species